GACGAACGCUGGCGGCGCGCCUAACACAUGCAAGUCGAACGAGCGAGCGAGAGCUUGCUUUCUUGAGCGAGUGGCGAACGGGUGAGUAACGCGUGAGGAACCUGCCUCAAAGAGGGGGACAACAGUUGGAAACGACUGCUAAUACCGCAUAAGCCCACGGUGCCGCAUGGCACAGAGGGAAAAGGAGCAAUCCGCUUUGAGAUGGCCUCGCGUCCGAUUAGCUAGUUGGUGAGGUAACGGCCCACCAAGGCGACGAUCGGUAGCCGGACUGAGAGGUUGAACGGCCACAGUGGGACUGAGACACGGCCCAGACUCCUACGGGAGGCAGCAGUGGGGAAUAUUGCACAAUGGGGGAAACCCUGAUGCAGCGACGCCGCGUGGAGGAAGAAGGUCUUCGGAUUGUAAACUCCUGUUGUUGGGGAAGAUAAUGACGGUACCCAACAAGGAAGUGACGGCUAACUACGUG
rnacentral:rRNA from 1 species